rnacentral:rRNA from 1 species
CCUACGGGCGGCAGCAGUGGGGAAUAUUGCACAAUGGGCGCAAGCCUGAUGCAGCCAUGCCGCGUGUGUGAAGAAGGCCUUCGGGUUGUAAAGCACUUUCAGCGGGGAGGAAGGCGGUGAGGUUAAUAACCUCAUCGAUUGACGUUACCCGCAGAAGAAGCACCGGCUAACUCCGUGCCAGCAGCCGCGGUAAUACGGAGGGUGCAAGCGUUAAUCGGAAUUACUGGGCGUAAAGCGCACGCAGGCGGUCUGUCAAGUCGGAUGUGAAAUCCCCAGGCUCAACCUGGGAACUGCAUUCGAAACUGGCAGGCUAGAGUCUUGUAGAGGGGGGUAGAAUUCCAGGUGUAGCGGUGAAAUGCGUAGAGAUCUGGAGGAAUACCGGUGGCGAAGGCGGCCCCCUGGACAAAGACUGACGCUCAGGUGCGAAAGCGUGGGGAGCAAACAGGAUUAGAUACCCCUGUAGUC